rnacentral:tRNA from 1 species
GCCUGGUUAGCUCAGUCGGUUGAGCGUCCGACUUCAGCUCAGGUCAUGAUCUCGCGGUCUAUGGGUUCGAGCCCCUCAUCGGGCU